UUUGAUAAAAGCAAAAGGCAGACCUAGCACUAAUACACAUGAAUUUCUUUUUUGAAAGAGAAAAAUAAAAUUUAUCAUCUAAUUCCAUGACUGCUAGCUAUAUACAGUCAUAGCAAUUGAAAAUAACAUUUGCUAAAGCACACAGUAAGGCAGUUAGACAAACCAUACUAGUUCGAGAGGUACUCUUGGCAUUGAACAGCUUUCAGAAAUGGAGAUUGGCUUAGCAGUUGGAGGUGCAUUUCUAUCUUCAGCUUUGAAUGUUCUCUUUGAUAGGCUUGCUCCUCAGGGCGAGCUGCUGAAGAUGUUUCAGAGGGACAAACAUGAUGUUCGAUUAUUAAAGAAGCUGAGAAUUACCUUGCUUGGUCUUCAGGCUGUUCUAUGUGAUGCAGAGAAUAAGAAGGCAUCAAAUCAAUACGUGAGCCAGUGGCUUAUUGAGCUUCAAGAUGCUGUGGACAGUGCCGAAAACUUAAUGGAAGAAAUCAAUUAUGAAGUUCUGAGAGUUAAGGUGGAAGGUCAGUAUCAAAAUCUUGGAGAAACAAGCAACCAGCAAGUAAGUGACCUCAACUUGUGCUUGAGUGAUGAAUUUUUCCUUAACAUAAAGGAGAAGUUGGAGGACGCCAUUGAAACAUUGGAGGAGUUGGAAAAGCAAAUUGGUCGCCUUGACCUAAAGGCAUAUCUUGACUCGAGUAAACAAGAAACUAGAAAACCUUCAACUUCUGUGGUUGAUGAAUCUGAUAUCUUUGGUAGGCAGAAUGAAAUAAUGGAAUUGGUUGACCGCUUAUUGUCUGUUGAUGCAAACGGAAAAAAUUUGACUGUAAUUCCUAUAGUUGGAAUGGCUGGGGUUGGCAAGACAACACUUGCUAAAGCUGUUUACAACGAUGAGAACAAGGUGAAAGACCAUUUUAAUUUGAAAGCUUGGAUCUGUGUGUCUGAACCAUAUGAUGCUUUUAGAAUAACAAAAGGGUUACUUCAAGAAAUUGGCUCAUUUGACUCUAUGAUUGAUAACAAUCUUAAUCAGCUUCAGAUAAAAUUGAAGGAAAACUUAAAGGGAAAAAAGUUUCUUAUUGUUUUAGAUGACAUUUGGAAUGAGAACUAUAAUGAGUGGGAUGACUUGAGAAAUCUUUUUGUACAAGGGGAGAAAGGAAGUAAGAUCGUUGUGACGACACGCAAAGAAAGCAUUGCCUUAAUGAUGGGAAGUGGGCCAAUUAGGGUCGGGACUCUGUCGGGUGAAGUUUCUUGGGAUUUAUUUGAAAGACAUGCAUUAGAAAACAGGGAUCCUAAGGGCCUUUCAAAACUUAGACAUGUUGGAAUACAAAUUGCAAACAAAUGCAAUGGAUUGCCGUUAGCUCUAAAGACACUUGCUGGUUUGUUACGCUCCAAAUCGGAUGUUGAAGAGUGGAGGCACAUUUUAAGAAGCGAAACAUGGGAAUUACCAAACUGUCCAAAUGGCAUCUUGCCAGCAUUGAUGUUGAGCUACAAUGAUCUUCCUGCAUAUUUGAAGCGAUGCUUUUCCUAUUGUGCAAUAUUUCCCAAAGAUUAUUCAUUUUGCAAAGAACAAGUUAUUCAUUUGUGGAUUGCCAAUGGUCUCAUACAGCGGUUCCAUAAAGAUGAAAAUAUUGAAGAUUCUAGCAUCCAAUGCUUUCUCGAGUUGAAAUCAAGAUCAUUGUUUGAAAGGGUCCCAAAUUCUACUCAAAGAAGCAACAUAGAGAAAUACCAAAUGCAUGACCUUGUCAAUGAUUUGGCUCAAAUUGCAUCUGCAAAACUUUGUAUCAGGUUGGAAGACAACGAACCAUCUCAUACGUUGGAAAGAAGUCGACACCUGUCAUAUUCAAUGGACCAUGGUGACCUUGAGAAGUUGAAACCCCUUUACAAAUUGGAACAAUUGAGGACAUUGCUUCCGUUAAGUAUCCAACCACAUAGUUCAAUUAAGCUAAGCGAGAGGGUGCUGCAUAACAUAUUGCCAACACUAAAAUCCUUAAGGGCAUUGUCAUUGUCUCGUUAUGCUAUCAAGGAGUUGCCAAGUGUCUUGUUUAUCAAAUUAAAACUCCUAAGAUUUUUGGAUCUUUCUCGGACAAUGAUAAAAAUGUUACCAGAUUCAGUUUGUCUAUUGUAUAACUUAGAGACACUACUUUUGUCAUCGUGUGAUUAUCUCAUAGAGUUACCGCUGCAAUUGGAAAACUUGAUCAGCUUGCGUCAUCUUGACAUUAGCGGCAGUUCUCUCUUGAAGUUGUCUCUACAUCCAAGUAAGUUGAAAAGCCUCCACGUGUUACGGGGAGCUAGAUUUCUUCUGGGUGGAUACAGUGGUUCAAUAAUUGGAGAGUUGGGUGAACUACAUAACUUGUAUGGUUCUGUAUCGGUUUUAGCAUUGCAAAAUGUGGUCGAUAGAAAGGAAGCUCAGAAGGCAAACAUGAGGAAGAAGGAAUAUAUUGAGGAGUUAUCAUUGGAGUGGAGUGAGAGUAUUGCUGACAAUUCACAAAUUGAAAGAGAUAUACUUGAUGAUUUACAACCAGAUACAAACAUAAAAGAACUCCAAAUCACUGGAUAUAGAGGGACAAAAUUUCCUAACUGGCUAGCUUAUCCUUCGUUUCUUAAACUGGUGAAAUUGUCUCUUAUCAAGUGCAAGGACUGUGAUUCCUUGCCAGCUCUAGGACAAAUUUCUUCUUUGAAAUUCCUUACUAUUAAAGGGAUGCAUCGAGUAUUAGAGGUGACCGAAGAAUUCUAUGGCACUUCUUUUUUCAAUAAGCCCUUUAACUCUCUUGAGAAGCUGGAAUUUUCAGAGAUGCUGGAGUGGAAGCAGUGGCAUCUACUUGGAAAUGGAGAGUUCCCUAUACUUCGGGACCUUUCAAUUGAAAAUUGCCCCAAGUUGAUGGGGAAGUUGCCUGAAAAUCUUUCUUCUUUGAUAGAAUUGAACAUUUCAAAAUGUCCUCAACUCAUUUUGGAGACACCUGUUCAACUUCCAUAUUUAAAAAUGUUUCGAGUAGUUGGUUCUCCUAAGCUUGGAGUUCUUUUUAAUCGUGCUGAGUUGUUUACAUCCCAACUUCAGGGGCUGAAACAGAUAGCUGAACUAUAUAUUAUUGAUUGUCACGCUCUCACCUCCUUACCUAUUAGCAGUCUACCAGAUACUCUAAAGAGAAUAUGGAUGUAUCGUUGUGGGAAGUUGAAAUUGGAGUCGCCAGUUAGUGAGAUGAUUACUAGCGGACAUAACAUGUUUCUCGAGAGCUUCAGAUUACAUAGGUGUCAUUCCAUAGAUGAUAUAUUACCUGAGUUGGUCCCAAGAGCACACUCUUUGAGUGUGGAUGGUUGCCCCCGCCUUACAAGGCUUUUGAUUCCCACUGCGACUGAAGUUCUCGGUAUUUAUAAAUGUGAGAAUCUUGAAAUACUUUCAGUGGCACGCGGGACUCAGAUGACAUCGUUGCAUACUUUGGUUAUUAGAGACUGCCAGAAGCUGAAGUCGAUGCCAGAACGUAUGCAGGAACUCCUUCCAUUUCUUAAAAAACUGGAACUGCAUAAUUGUCCCGAAAUCAAGUCCUUUCCUGAAGAAGGUUUACCGUUCAGCUUAGGAGUCCUUGUGAUCGACGAUUGCAAGAAACUGGUGCAUGGCCGAAAGCAAUGGCAUUUACAGAGACUCCCUUAUCUCACAGAGUUAACCAUCUUUCAUGAUGGCAGUGAUGAAGAGAUUCUUGCUGAUGAAAAUUGGGAGCUUCCUAGCUCAAUUCGAAUUCUUAUGAUUUACAAUCUGAAAACAUUGAGCAGCCAAGUUCUCAAAAAUCUCACCUCUCUUAUACAUCUACUUAUUGGUAGUUUACCUCAAGUUUGGUCACUAUUGGAAGAAGGGCUUCCCUCUUCUCUUUGUUACCUAUCAUUAUAUGAUCAUCCUGAGCUCCAUUCACUACCGACUGAAGGUCUUAGGAGCCUCACUUCGCUUCAAUGUCUAAGGAUCGACAAGUGUCCUAAUCUCCAUUCUCUUCCAGAAUUAGCGCUGCCCUCUUCCCUCAUUGAGCUGCGUAUCGAUCGUUGUCCUAAUCUCAAACCCCUACCAUUAAAAGGAAUGCCACCUUCCAUCUUUGAACUAUCUAUUUCUGAAUGUCCGUUGAGAAAACCACGUCUAGAAUUUGAGAAGGGGGGUUACUUUGCUCAUAUAUCCGAAAUAUAUAUCGAUGGUGAAUGCCUGUAAUGAUUAAAAGGAAUGGUGCAACAACAGAUUGUAUAGUGUCCAUUUCCACUAUGACGCCGUGUAAUCAGCUUCAGAGAGGGAUGAAUUUCAAGUUAGAUAACAAAAAAACGAUAUGUGAACCGCGGGAUAUGCAUUGUCUUUCAAACUUUGAAGAAUCUUACUUCAGGAUUCUUAGUUCAGGUAGUGUUUGAACUUUCAUCUUAAUAGCAACGUAUUGUUCUUGUCGUUUCCCUUUUUCCACUGAGUUGAGAAAGGAGGUGGUUUAGAGUUGAACAUGUUCAAUUUUGAGCUUUCAUCUGUCUAGUGUGAGUUGAAAGCUGAUAACAUAACGUAAUGCUAAUGUACUUACAAAUCUUUUCCCAGUCAUAUAGGUCGAUAUGUCAGCGAUGUGAGCACA